GACGAACGCUGGCGGCGUGCCUAAUACAUGCAAGUCGAGCGAAGUUUUUCUGGUGCUUGCACUAGAAAAACUUAGCGGCGAACGGGUGAGUAACACGUAAAGAACCUGCCUCAUAGACUGGGACAACUAUUGGAAACGAUAGCUAAUACCGGAUAACAGCAUUAACUGCAUGGUUGAUGUUUAAAAGUUGGUUAUGCUAACACUAUGAGAUGGCUUUGCGGUGCAUUAGCUAGUUGGUGGGGUAAAGGCCUACCAAGGCGACGAUGCAUAGCCGACCUGAGAGGGUGAUCGGCCACACUGGGACUGAGACACGGCCCAGACUCCUACGGGAGGCAGCAGUAGGGAAUCUUCCGCAAUGGGCGAAAGCCUGACGGAGCAACGCCGCGUGAGUGAAGAAGGAUUUCGGUUCGUAAAGCUCUGUUGUUAGGGAAGAAUGGAUAUGUAGUAACUAUACAUGUAAGAGACGGUACCUAACCAGAAAGCCACGGC
rnacentral:rRNA from 1 species